rnacentral:lncRNA from 1 species
AGCUUUUCUCUUUUCCAAUACAACCUGAACUUUUUCUUUUGUAAUUUGGACAUAGUCUAUGCCACGCUCAUCUGGGCAAUGCCAACUUUAUAUUAUUCCCAAAUACAGUUGUCCUAGUUGACAUACAUUUCUGUAUAUUUACUCAGUACUGACCCUGAGAAGCUAAGGCUUCAACCACACUCUCCCUGACUCUGCAGUACAGGGAUGUUGACCAUCAUCCAGAAGGUUAGACAAAGUUGUCCAGCUCACGGGCAGUCAGAGUAACGGAGGUUCAGUUUAUCGGGCUGCAGAAGGAGUUGACAAAAGUUAACAAAAUAAUCAAACAAGAAAAGUGGUCAAAACUACAAUGGGCGCUUGUGUGAGUAGUGUAACUCAGCGUCUAACCUAGUUGUAAAGACAAAUUUGAACACCCAUGCUGACAGGUGAUAGCAACCAACUGAUGAUAAUUCUAUGAAGACUAAGCAAAUGGUUCCUUAUGGAAUUAAUUGGACUUCCAUCUCCUGUCUGCUUCUGAGGCCUGACGUCUUAUUUGGAGUGAUCUUCAAUUCUUCUUUCAUUGUCUCUUCCUGGCCUUCUGGUGCCUACUAUUAUUGUGGCGAGAGGGCCUGGGAUUCUUCCGUACCUUGAGUCACCUGCAUGUUACCAGACCUGUCCUAAAAUACCUCCUCCCUUCCCUUCUAUUGCCACAGCCACAAUCGAUGUGUAGAAAAGGAGUCACACAAAGGAAAACAAAAUCAUAGUGAUUUUCUCUGACUGAAAAAAAGAAGUCUGUUGGCAGCAAUCUUCUUUCAGCAUUCCAUUUUCCAUUCUCAACAGCUUCCUUGACAAAUUCCCUUCCCUGUUUUUUGCUUUCUUCUUAAAAAGUAAUGUGGGAACAAAUGAAAGGGACCUACACAUUUUACUACGCUGACAAUUAAGAAGCACAUGCUCAGAGUGAAAAAGUUUGGAAGCCAAUUUGAGGAAAAAAGAAAAAGGAAAAGAAAGGAUCUGUUAAAAAUCCCAUAAAACAGAAUAAAUGAAUUGUGAGAAGGCUAGAAUAUAUAAGAUUGCAAAUAAUACCAAUUUAAAGUACAGGACCUAAUCUAGUAACAUCUUAGAUUUUUCUGAAAGAAUAGUAAAUGCAUUUCAGUGUCAGAUUAUAUUUCACUAACUUGUUUUUCAAAAAAGGAAAGAUUUUUGGUCUUUUAAAAAAGCUCAACAGGUUUAUAAAGUCUGAGGAAUAAAGCAGUCUUUGUUAUAUAACUAUUUUUAAAAAGAACUGAAUUUCUACCUGUGAACGGUCUAGAAUGCAAACAGACAGACAAACCAUCAGUGAAAUAUGGUCAUUAACUGAGGCAGCUCCUUGGUGGGUGAGAGAAUCGUUUAAAUCCUUCAUAUUUUCCCCCUGGGAAAUAGCACCCUAUCACAAGACCAUCUGUAGAAAUUUUUGGCAUCUUUUCAAUUUUGCACUAUAAUUACAUUGUUAAAGGUAGAUUCAUUAA